AACCCUAGGUUUCCCAUGGUGCAAUCCGCACCCAGCUCCCCCACCGCCACCGCCACCGCCACCGCCGUCCCCGACGCCGACCACCCCACCCCGCCGUCCCGUCUCCUCUCGAAACAUCGCCCACGACGCCGUGCAGCGCCCCCCCGCCCGGCCUUGCCGCCCCCUGCGCCCACGCGCAGCCCGUCCUAUCUGAACCGCUGCCACUGCUGCGUCGCUCGCUUCCAGCCGCCGGCGCCGGGCGCCAAGCGACGUCCACUCCGUCCCCUCCGCUCCCUCUGGCGCGUCGUCCUCCUCUGUUCUGAAUGUAUCUCCCUCCUUCGCUCUGGCGCCGUCUGCUCCUACUGCCUCUCCCCCGACAACCUCUCGCACGAGGACUCGGCCACAUGCCGCAGCUGCAACCACUGCGUCCACCACCACUGCAUCCCUGCCGAGCACCGUACUGCCAUGAUCCAGCCUGUAGAUUUGGAGAAUUUCGUCUGCGUCGAUUGCUGCCCCACAGUGAAGGUGGGUGGCAAGAAAUACGUUCCUAAUCUGGAGUUGGUCACCAGGGAGCCUAGUUCUGCAGUUCGGAGGAAGGGGGAGCCUGUCGCCGCUGCUAAGUUGAAUUCGCCAAGGAAGGUGGUGGAGGAGGUGAGGCCAGCUUGGAAGGAUGCGAUGGCCCUCGUCCCUGUUGGUGAGGGGUCAGAGAGCAAGGGUCCCUGUGAUCCGGAGCUGCCAGAUGAGGCAUUGGCUCUGCAGCUGCAUUUGGCUAUCAACGGGUCACCGAGGAUUUCACGUUCUGGCAGUGCAUCUCUAUUUGUCUCGGCUGGACAGGGCAAGAGGCAGAACGGAUUGGUUUAUGGGAGGAAGGUGGUCAAUGAGGAUCUGGGGCUUUGUGUAACCAAUAUGAUGGAUCAUCUGGACUAUCUCGAGACCAGUGAAGAGAUGGGAAGCAACUGGAAUGCUAGUCAGGCUUUAGGAUCUGACCCCACAGUCCCUGUGGUUCUUGCACUGGAGUGUAAAGGUAAACCCCCUCAGGAGAGUACGAGAGGUAAAAGGAAAGGUCCUCCCGCGACUAAUCAACAUAAUAGUUUGGUGGAGUAUAAGGUGGAUCGGUAUAAGAAGAAGUAUAGCAAGAGGAAAUCAAGUAAGCAGACAUAUGUUGAAAGCACUGGAAACAAGACCUUGCCCAAUGGAAAGGACAUGGAUGUUGGUGAAGGUGGUGAGGGCAUAACUCCUAUGACAUAGACCGCCGUUUCUUUUUGGAGGUAAUUCGCGAUCACAGAGUUUGCAUCCAGCAAUACAGGAUUGAAGCUAGCAACUUGUUGGUGGCUUUGAUAGCAACUACAAUCAAAGUUAUAGCUUGUCGCUAUGUCUUCUUCCAGCAACUCAGCUUGUCACUGCCAUUUCCAAUCCUAGAUUGACAAAUAGUCGGGGUCGAGGAAAGGGCCGCCACCACAGCCACGCUUUUCACAAAUCCAAAGGCAGCACAUGGUGAGAAGAUGACGUGGUAUCAUCAAAGGUGUGAGGACGUUGAUGGGGUUUGCACUUGCAGAGGAUGGCAUUACAGUGGAUGCGGAUAAGAUGAUAAAAGGGCAAGCACACAGCAAUCAGUGCCAUAAGGAAUCGCUAGCCGUUGCCUUGUUUGCUGUGACUGCAGUCUGUAGGUCUGGCCCAGAAUCUUCUUUGUCUUCAUUUUUCGGAAUUUCAAAAAGGUGAACUCUCUUCCUACUCAUGUGGAUAAGAGGGCCAUCAAAAUCAUGAUGUACGUAUCUGUGUCCGGUGAAUUUGAAACUGUGAUUCUUACCAGCAGCACCACCCGGACCUUUUAUAUCCGUCCAGGUUCAGAACUGGACAUGAGGUUCAUCCAAACGUCUGGGAACCACAGGAGGUUGAUCAAAAUGGUUAUCUGGUUUCUGCAAAAAAGUUUAACUUGUGGCAUGGAGUUAGCGCACACAUGUUGGAAACUACACUAAUCUCGUUGUGUGUAAUUGGUGCCUGAACUCUUCUCCUUCGAAGCGCUCCUAGCUUGUUUCCUUCAAUUCAAAAUAGUAUCAUUCACGGGGAUCAAGACUACAGAGAUAUAGUCUAAUUAGCAUGCAACCCUAGGAUCAGUUUGUGGCUCUUGAAGUGUGUUGUGCUGGAUUUAUUUAAGGAAAUAGUCGGUCCGUGCUAAUCUGAAGUUGGACAGUCAAAUUAUGGCACUCAAACAUCAUGUAUUCGAUAUGUGCCACCAGCCCACGAGCGGUUAUGAAAAAUUAGCUGCAUGGCCUUGCGCGCCGUC